CCCUUAGAUGUUCUGGGCCGCACACGCGCUACACUGAAGGAGGCAGCGUGUACUCCUGGAUCGAAAGAUUUGGGUAACCCGCGAAUCUCCUUCGUGCUAGGGAUUGAGGUUUGCAAUUAUCCUUCAUGAACAAGGAAUUCCCAGUAAGUGCAAGUCAUAAGCUUGCGCUGACUACGUCCCUGCCCUUUGUACACACCGCCCGUCGCUACUACCGAUUGAAUGAUUUAGUGAGGACUUCGGACUGGGACCGAUGCGGCUUUCGGGCUGCGUCGGUAUUCUGGAAAGAUGUCCAAACUGUAUCAUUUAGAGGAAGUAAAAGUCGUAACA
rnacentral:rRNA from 1 species